UACGUAGGUGGCAAGCGUUGUCCGGAUUUACUGGGCGUAAAGCGUGCGCAGGCGGUUAUGCAAGACAGAUGUGAAAUCCCCGGGCUCAACCUGGGAACUGCAUUUGUGACUGCAUAGCUAGAGUGCGGCAGAGGGAGAUGGAAUUCCGCGUGUAGCAGUGAAAUGCGUAGAUAUGCGGAGGAACACCGAUGGCGAAGGCAAUCUCCUGGGCCUGCACUGACGCUCAUGCACGAAAGCGUGGGGAGCAAACAGG
rnacentral:rRNA from 1 species